CACGCCACGUUGACCCUCGCUGGGCGACCGUGGAGCUGUCAAUCAGGAGCGGAGCGCAGCGAUGAUUGUCUUGCCAGGGGGGCAGGUCCCUUCUGAAGAGCUGCCUUAGGACAAGGCACUCCAGGAUGGCUGAAGAGGGAAUGUGUGGGCCCAGGGAGAGGUGAAAUCGGUGCCACCACACCUCGGCCGAGCUCUGUAGGGCUGAACCGCCCAUGCCUGUAAAGCAUGAAGUGUUGAGAAGGUCCUGCAAAGUCCCACCCGUGUGUGGUCCCCUCCAAGGGGAGCAGAGGGUGACAAAAGUACCCAGUAGAGCCAAAGGAAGACAAAACACGAGUGCCAUGGUCAGGCUAAGGUAAUAAAUACUUCUAUUCAUGGAGAACAAUGCAGCAGUGCAAUGUUUUAUUGGAAAAAAAAAAAAAAUCAUCUCACUUGAUACCUCAGAAGACUGCAUCGCAACGUUGGUGGGCUGAGAGCGGCGUCAGAGGCACCUGCGCCGGGAGCCCCCGAGCACCCUCCCUGUGCCUGGGCUCUCCUGGCUGCUGACCGCUCCCGGCACGGAGGGGAGAGAUUGCCCGGGUUAAUGCCCUACAUCCUACCACAGCAUGGCUGGCUCAGUCUGCCUGCGUCUCCUUGUCACCUCCGAGCUCCCUGGGGACAGCGCUUCCCUCAAGCACAGGACUUGCUGGCAACCUGCUUGCUUUUCUUUUCUCUUUUUUUUAAUUUCUUUGUUAAAAAGCCACUCCACAUCUUUGCCCUUUUUUUUUGUUUUGUUUUUUUUUUUGAAGAGUCCAACGUACGAUUAUAGUGCAAGAGGGCUUGGUACAAGUGAGCAUUACCAGCAUGCCGUGGGGGGACAGUCCUCCCCUCCAAACACAUCAUUGUAGGAUUAAAAGAACACCGUAGCUCCGGAGAGAAGCUGUAGUGGGUCACCAUGAAACAGCUUUCAAACCAACCCACUUAAAAACAAGGUCAGGAAAGUUUCUAAACGACCAAAUACAUUCACUUAAAAAAAAAAA